rnacentral:rRNA from 1 species
AUUGAACGCUGGCGGCAGGCCUAACACAUGCAAGUCGAACGAGCGGCGGACGGGUGAGUAAUGUCUGGGAAACUGCCCGAUGGAGGGGGAUAACUACUGGAAACGGUAGCUAAUACCGCAUACUAUCGGAUGUGCCCAGAUGGGAUUAGCUAGUAGGUGGGGUAAUGGCUCACCUAGGCGACGAUCCCUAGCUGGUCUGAGAGGAUGACCAGCCACACUGGAACUGAGACACGGUCCAGACUCCUACGGGAGGCAGCAGUAGGGAAUAUUGCACAAUGGGCGGAAGCCUGAUGCAGCCGUGCCGCGUGUAUGAAGAAGGCCUUAGGGUUGUAAAGUACUUUCAGCGGGGAGGCGUUACUCGCAGAAGAAGCGCCGGCUAACUCCGUGCCAGCAGCCGCGGUGAUAC